UGUAACACCAUUAUUUUUGUAACUUAACAUUUCGUUUAUUGUUUACAUUCUGUUUGUUUACUUUGUUAGUCUUGUCAAGUAUCAGCUGUCAAAUUCGACACACAGGAUAGAUUUUCAGUUGUUGUCUGUGGUCCUUUGAGAAAACUCGUGCUAGAUCGUCAUCGGACAGUGGUCAGUGGCGACAUGACGCUCAGAACAAUGAUCGUGCUGACUAGCCACAGAGUAGUUUUGUGACGAUGAGCUGACAUCCCCGGUGACGGCUUUUUUUCGGAACUGGCAAGGAGGCAAACCAUUCUCUGUCAGAACGUCUCGAGUUCAUGUGUGGUUAGUUUUUCUUCCCGCCCGCGUGGCGCAGGCCGUAUUGGUACCAAGUUCCUUGCUUCAUAUUUCCUGUUACCAGAUACGUGCCACAGACACCCACGCAGCAUCACACCAUGUGUACCUAACCUGAAUUGCCGACAAUUUCAAUCCUGCCCGGUGAAGCGUGCGAUUGCCAGACGCGUGUCACCUGACCCAACCCCAAGAAGGUGUCGUUGGUGACCAGAGCCGUCAGCGAGCCACGAGCCGUCCGGAGCUCCUGUCCUGGCCCCGUCCGGCAGUCCAGGUUGGCCGUUGUAUGUUCGUUGAGCGGAUACUGAGGAAUUUCCUUAGGAUUUCUAUUAAUCUUCAGCGGCAUCAGCCUUCUAACGCCGCUGCUGAAUGUAGGACUGCAAAGGCAGAACCCGGGUGGACUCUAGCGGGUUAAAACCUUUAUUUUAUUAUUUUUUUUUCUUCAUAGGGAGCCCCGUUAGAACGGGCAGUAGUAUCUAAAUUGCACUUUGAACCUUUUGUAGGCGCUAGGCUAUCAACGUCCUUCAGUUACGGGGCCUUAACGUUAAACUGCUAUCCCAUUGAAGUAAUAAAGAAGUUCCUCUGUGGUUAAUACCAUCCUUCUACUCCUGUGGCGUGAAACGCAGCGGUGGAACCUUGGUUUCUCCACUCUUAUAUAAUUUCCUUGCAAUACCUUGUGUACUUCAACCAGACAAUUAUAAGGACUUAAUCCCUGGUCUCAUUUAAGUAGUAUAAGAGCUUCUCUGUGGUUAAUACCAUCCUUCUACCCCUGUGGCGUGAAACGCAGCGGUGGAACCUUGGUUUCUCCACUCUUAUAUAAUUUCCUUGCAAUACCUUGUGUACUUCAACCAGACAACUAUAAGGACUUAAUCCCUGGUCUCAUUUAAGUAGUAUAAGAGUUUCUCUGUGGUUAAUACCAUCCUUCUACCCCUGUGGCGUGAAACGCAGUGGUGGAACUUUGGUUUCUCCACUCUUAUAUAAUUUCUAUAUAAUAAAUAUUAAUAAUUGUACAACA